rfam:Oryza glumipatula chromosome 2, whole genome shotgun sequence.
AAAAAGACAAACCCUGGAUUUUCGAGUCCAACUUUAACUGUCCUUCUUAUAUGAAAUUUUUUUAUAAUUCAUAUUUUCAUUGUUGUUAGAUGAUAAAACAUGAUUAAUAUUUUAUGCGUGACUUGUCUUUUUAAUUUUUUUUCAUAAUUUUUUCAAAUAAGACGGACGGUCAAACGUUGGACAUGGAAACCAGGGUUUGUCUUUUU